CACGUAGGGUGCGAGCGUUGUCCGGAAUUAUUGGGCGUAAAGAGCUCGUAGGCGGUGUGUCGCGUCGGCCGUGAAAACCUGCAGCUUAACUGUGGGCUUGCGGUCGAUACGGGCAUCACUGGAGUUCGGCAGGGGAGACUGGAAUUCCUGGUGUAGCGGUGAAAUGCGCAGAUAUCAGGAGGAACACCGGUGGCGAAGGCGCACAUCUGGCCCAAUACUGACGCUGAGGCGCGAAAGCGUGGGGAGCAAACAGG
rnacentral:rRNA from 1 species